UAUGGAUAGGUCUUCAAAAAUGAUAUUGAGGUUUCUAAUAUCAUUUUUUUCUAAACUGAAUAGUUUGCGCGAGAGACACUUCCAAAGUGGUAAAAUGUGUGUCCCCCCCCCUGUAACUUCUAAAAUAAGAGAAUGAUAAAACUAAAAAAAAUAUAUGAUGUAGAUUACCAUGUAAACUUUCACCGAAAAUUGGUUUGAGCGAGAUCUAGUAAGUAGUUUUUUUUUUAUACCUACCUAUCUAAGACCUCUUCAAAAAUGAUAUUUAGGUUUCUAAUAUCAUUUUAAUCUAAACUGAAUAGUUUGCGCGAGAGACACUUCCAAAGUGGUAAAAUGUGUGUCCCCCCCCCUGUAACUUCUAAAAUAAGAGAAUGAUAAAACUAAAAAAAAUAUAUGAUGUACAUUACCAUGCAAACUUCCACCGAAAAUUGGUUUGAACCAAAUCUAGUAUGUAGUUUUUUUUUUUAAUACGUCAUAAA